CCGGGAGAGCGGCACCCCCGGCACAGCCCCCGCUGACCUGGCCCCGCGUCCCGCGGCUGAGCUCAUUCCCGGCCCCUGUCCCGCUGCUGCCGGAGGGAUGCGCCCGCCUGGGAACGGGCCGCCCCGCUCGGGCGCUCCGGGCAGCUGAGGCAGCACAAAGCCCCACGUCUGUGGCAAAACCGGCCCGAGAAGACCUGCAGAGCCAUGGACCAGGGGCAGCCGUGGUCUGAAUGGGAGUGGAGAGAUUUGCACAGCACUGUUGGUUGCGCCGUGCCCCACAGCACCGCUGGAUACAAACCUGUUACUUCCCAAGCCUGAGGUGAAACAGAGGCACGUACCUUGUCCAGGGAGUCUAACACCAGCAUCUAACACAGAAAGUGUUUUCUGGCCUGGGCAGUGAUGGCGAUGAAGGCUCAGUGGGGCCAAGGGUCACACCCAGAACAAGUGAAGGAGGUAGGAGCCUUGUUACUGCCAUGUGCAAAGGAGAAUGAAAAAGCCUCUUGGAAAGCCUUGGGAGACCAAGGUCCAGUGAUUUAAAAGAUGGAGACCCAUGGAUUAAUUCUGAAUUUUGGCACUGCAAGCAGCCCUCCAAUUUUCAGAGGUGCAGAUUAUCUGCAGCUCACAGUGGCUAAAACAAAGGUCCCCAUAUUUCAGUAUUUCUGAAAUCUGAUCUCUUUUAAAACACACAGGCUCUUAGACUGAAUUUAGCAAUCUGGUCUCCACCUCCAUAAAACCAGGACCAUAAGUAGAAACAUCUCUGAGCAGGAAGUGAGGGGAGAGGAGUGAGACCCUGACUGUUCACACAGGAACAGGAGUGAAAUACCUUAUUUCUGAUUCCUCCCAAAGUGAGCAGAGAGCAUUCCUGUUGCCCCACUGACUCAUGCUUAUUACUAAGCACUUUGUUAACUGUGAUAAUGAGAAAUGGCCGCUUUGUGUGUGCUCUACUUUUGCUCCUGGGUUUUGCUCUCAAAAAUAACCAAAAAAAAAAAAAGUCAAGGCUCUGGGGCUGUGGACAGUUCCUUGGUGACUGUUACAGACACAUGGAUGUGCAUCACCUCUUAUUCCUCACCCAGGAGAAGUGGGACCACAACCUCAUCCCAGUGAGCUCUGCAGCCCUACCAGAGCUGGGACAUCCUUCUGGGUGUCACUUGGCAUUGUCAGAGAACAUGCAGUUGCAGCCAGGAUGUUGGAGAGUCUGGGAAAAAUGCCUGAGUGUUUUGUGUGGAGGCAGGAAAUUGCCUGCUGCACUACAGGUAUGCACCAAAAGGAUUGGUGCUGCCAAGCAGGAAGGAAUGGAGGUCUGGAAAGGCACAAGUGAGGGCAGAAAGCCCAUAGUUAAGGUGAGUUGUGUUACAAACUCUGCAGGGACGAGGCCCCUGUUGUGCCAAAGGCUCCUGCUGUGCUUAAAGCAUGGUCAGUAACCCCACGUUGGGAACACAUCACUCCAUGCCAGAGAAUAACUGGAGCCCAGCAGCAGCAUGGCUCAGCUGGAGGCUGGGUCCUAGGAAGGGAAAGCAAGAGCUGAACUCAUUUGAAGCUGCCAGAGGAGGCGGGAUGCAAUUUUCUCCAUCUGUCUUCCGUGUCUUUUCUCAGUCCUUGCUCUUCUAAAACAUCCUGUUGAAGAGCUGGAUUGCAGAGCUCCCUGGAGGGGUUCAGUAUCCAUCACAACACUGCCUGACCUGCUCGUGCCUCUUCACUGCUGCUCUGGCUCUUCAUCCUCAGCACCUUGUUCAUCCUGCAUGGAGCUACUUACACAUUACAGCUGCUGGAUCCUUUCUGGGAAUUGUGAUCACCUGAGACACAGCACCUCAUUUUGGAGGUCUGGCCCAUGUCAUUUGCUCCAAGACAUACACAAUGGUUGGAUACUUGUUUCAAAUUCACUGUUGAGAAAAGGGGGCUUGGAGCUGAUUCUUGUGGACUGAGAGCCCCCCUGCUUGCCAGUCAUCAGCAGUAACACUUCUCUUCUGGGGUCUGGCUCAGGGUUUUAGCCCAUUUAGCACUUGUGCUUUGGCCAUCCUCAAGGGUGUCACCCCCAACCAGGGUGUCACACAGGAACAUCAAAAAUACCUUCUACUUUAACUGCGGCUCUUGGUCAUCUGCUAAGCUCUUGAGCAACUCACAUUGCAGUCAAAUUUCACUAAAUUUGUCCGAAUUUUCUUUAGGAUGAAUUGCAUUCGGUUUUUGUUUCAUCUUGGGGAAAAUUAGUGUCUUGGAAAAGCCAAAUUCAUAUAUGACUACCUGUGAUUGUCCUGACUUUGCACAAGUCCAUUGCGAUGCUCAGCUCCACUGUCUCGACCCAUCACGAUGAAUCUGAAAGGGAGACAGGGUGUGCUGGAUGGACGCAUCCUCUGCUGGGAAAUUAUCAUCCAGCACACUUAGAAACUCUCAUGAGACUUGGCUGUGGCCUGCAGGCAAUCUCCACAGAUGUGUCCCAGGAUUAAAUUAUCUAUGCAAAUACCGUUUUCUUUUCACACGUUGCAAAUGAGCCUGGAGAGAGAGAUCCGUGCUGGGCCUCACUUGGUGAGGCAGCCAGGUACACACAGGCUUGCACACGGUGCUCCCGCUUGGGCUCUCCUGAUCUACAUAGUCUGCUCCGAGUCUCCGCUGUAGAACGGGUAAUGUUGCCAUUAGCAUGAAGCACCACACUUCACUCUUCCAGGCACUCUCUCCUUGCCCAGCAUGUGGCAGCCAGCAGUUGUAACAGCCCCCUUAAAAAAUACCACGCAGCCACACUUAGGCGAUAGCGGUUUUGUCCCAUUCAUUCCUAAAAGGGAAACUAAUUCACAUUUUUCUCUUACAGAGAAAGUUUCCUAUUUGGGAGUUUAAACAACUGAUUAUUUUCUUUUCACAUAUCCACCCAUGGUCCAUGGUCCCUUGGGUGUAAAUUGUUUAAAUUUUACCUGUUUGAAGGUUCAUUAAAGCCAUCCUGUCCUUCCCAGCCCAUUUCCAGGCCAUGAGGUUGGGCACUGGACUUAGGACAGGCAGGCAGACAUCCAGAGAACCCACCCACAAGAACCAGGGCUAAGUGCCCUACACAGUGGAGCCUCUCAGCAGACACCAGCCACUUCUUCAGCCUUCAGGGGUUUCUAUUUUCUUCUUCAGCUUUCAGGAGCAGGACCUCGGACUUUUUUCUACUUUUCUGAGAUUUCUGAAGGCUUGAACAAUCUUUUGCUGUUCCCACACCAUCCCAUUGGCUUUCUGACACUUUCCAAACAAUCUCUUCCCAACUCCCCUUC